rnacentral:pre_miRNA from 1 species
UGAUGAUGAUGAUGAUGAUGAUGAUGAUGAUGACGAUGAUGAUGAUGAUGAUGACGGUCGUCCUCACCACCUUCAUCGUCAUCCUCGUCAUCAUCAUCAUCAUCAUCAUCAUCA